UAGUCCACACCGUAAACGCUGUCUACUAACUGUGUGUGAAUUUAAUUCGUGCGUAGUGAAGCUAACGCGCUAAGUAGACCGCCUGGGGAGUACGGCCGCAAGGUUAAAACUCAAAUGAAUUGACGGGGGCCCGCACAAGCGGUGGAGCAUGCGGUUUAAUUCGAUGCAACGCGAAGAACCUUACCUACUCUUGACAUACUGAGAACUUUCCAGAGAUGGAUUGGUGCCUUCGGGAGCUCAGAUACAGGUGCUGCAUGGCUGUCGUCAGCUCGUGUCGUGAGAUGUUGGGUUAAGUCCCGCAACGAGCGCAACCCUUGUCCUUAUUUGCCAUCAUUCAGUUGGGCACUCAUGCGAGACUGCCGGUGUUAAGCCGGAGGAAGGUGGGGACGACGUCAAGUCAUCAUGGCCCUUACGUGUAGGGCUACAAACGUGCUACAAUGGGAGUUACAGUGGGCAGCGACGUCGCGAGGCGAAGCUAAUCCCUAAAAGCUCUCUC
rnacentral:rRNA from 1 species